UGCGGUUUAAUUGGAUUCAACGCCGGAAAUCUCACCGGGGCGACAGCAAUAUGAAGGUCAGGCUGAAGACCUUACCCGAUUAGCUGAGAGGUGGUGCAUGGCCGUCGUCAGUUCGUACUGUGAAGCAUCCUGUUAAGUCAGGCAACGAGCGAGACCCACGUCCACAGUUGCCAGCAUACCCUCCGGGGUGAUGGGUACACUGUGGAGACCGCCGCUGCUAAAGCGGAGGAAGGAGUGGGCAACGGUAGGUCAGUAUGCCCCGAAUCUCCCGGGCUACACGCGGGCUACAAUGGUUGGUACAAUGGGCAUCUACCCCGAAAGGGGAAGGAAAUCUCUUAAAGCCAAUCGUAGUUCGGAUUGAGGGCUGCAACUCGCCCUCAUGAAGCUGGAAUCCGUAGUAAUCGCGUUUCAACAGAACGCGGUGAAUACGUCCCUGCUCCUU
rnacentral:rRNA from 1 species